AAGAAACACUUGGGAGGAAAGACUCUCAACUGAGAAACUGCCUCCUUAUGAUUGGCCUGUAGGCAAGUCUUUGGGGCAUUGUCUCCUUCGCUAAUUGAUGUUAGAGGGCCCAACCCACUGUGGGCCUUACUUAGUCCGCUCAGGGAGGAGGGCCCAACACAGUGGGCCUUACUACUCGGAUCAGGGAGGCUUAGGCAGUUUUAAAAGAUAGCUGAAUAUCUAGGGGAGCAAGCCAAUAAGCCGGGUACCUCUAUGGUCCCUACUCUAUCUAGUUCCUGCUUCCAGUUCCCGACCUGUCUCCCUUCCGUGAUGGGCUGUAAAAUGGAAGAUGGCAUAAGCCCUUUCUUCCCCAAGUUGCUUUUUGGUCACAGUGAUAAGUCACAUCCACAAAACGCAAACAAGGACGGCAGCCUCUCCUUUCGGUUCUAAGAAUUAACCGUGGGGAAAUGGUAGCCCAGACCUCUGAUCAAAUGACCGACAGGAAGAUUGCUCGUGUGACCUGGUUAAGGAAAAGUAUGGGGGGUGGGGGGCGGUGGAAUAGAGAUUCUGUUCCUAUGAAACAAGAGGGAAGAGCCUUGGAAAUGCACAAUGACCAAACUGCUCUAAAACGUUCAGCAAAAGAUGAACUACACAAUGAAGAGAAGUAAAGCCAGGGGACACAGCUCCAGCCAGACUGCGGCUCCAAGGGGAAGGAUGUUGGAGCCUCAUCCAAAGGCUGAGCCGAGAGGCCCUGGUGAAACGGCAGUGGCUCCCACAGCUUCAAAGUCGGCGGCAAGUUUGAUUCCUGAAGCCACAGAGAGGAAACCCGGUUUGUCACUGUCUCCCUGAGAGGUGGCUGAGCACCAUCUUGACCCUAUUGUUUAAAAUGAGCUACUACUAUAGGAGGCCAAGAACAGAGACGCCUAAGUCAGGAAGCCCCGAAUGUGAUUUACUAACAACCCCGGGAUGAUAAACAGCCCUGGCUAGUGGCUAUGGAAAAUGGAAGGGCUGAAAAGUUCGAGGGCAGGAGGCUCAACUCAGGCAGAAAAUGGACAUGAAAAGGUGGCUCCCUAGCCGAUCUCAGCAACUGAGCAUAACCCUGACGUUUGAUAGCCCUAAUUCUCAGGUCAGAGAGUAAAUCAGCAUUAAACUACUGAGGGCUAGAAGUUCUGAGGCUCUGUAGAUCUACCGAUCCACAGCUGGAAGAUAAAUAAAUACCUAGCCCGGGUAGGGAUCAGGAGUGAGGGGGUUGUAAAGAGAGGCUCUUCUCCUAUUCAGACCUCCUUGAAACGCUGCUUCCUCUCCUAUGCAACACCGAGCAACUCUCAAGCUAGAACAUUAGCCACCCCAGAAGAUGUAAUCAGAGGGUGGGGAUCUCAGAAGGGUGGGAGAACACUACCAGUCCACAAGCUGCAAAGCAAACUGUGGCCAGCAGAGGGCGAUAGUAGACAGAGAAGGGACGCUCCUGGGAUGAACAAGGCUCUGGCAGACGCCUCUUCAGCUGCCCCUGCCCCACUAUGUGCUAUAACCAGCGGCUUCAAAUAAGGAACCUUGCAAGAAGCUAUUCAUGACUUGAUGCAUUUGCUGGCACCGAAGUUUGUUUUCUCCCUCAUGCGUGAGCCAAGGGAUUAAGGCCUUGAGACUUGUCUGCUUGAGAAGAUCCUAAAAUAAAACCAGAAGAGAUAUGCAGACUACCAAGUAUGUACAUUUCAACACAUAAGAAACAUGUAAGCAAGGCAAAAUGACUCCUCAAAACUAUAAUUAUAUGGCAAUGGCUGCAAUAAAGAAAACUGAAAUUGCUGACUGAAGAUUAACCUAUUUCUUAGUCAGCAUCCAUGGUGGCUCGCACCUCUACUGGCAGCAUUAGGAAGAUAGAGGAAAGAUGACAGUCGUGAGUUCCACUCCAGCUUGGGAUACAGAGCCAAGCCUUAUCUCAGAACAAAAGCCUAGGAGUAAAAGGGACCUCAAAGAGACUGAACACUGACUUGAUCAAAGAGAACACCAACUGCUACAUGGACUCAGCCUGGGAUCUGGAAAGAAAAGUCAGAAAAAUAAAAAAAUAAAAUAAAAUUUUAAAAAAAGAA